rnacentral:tRNA from 1 species
GGGGGUGUGGUACAGUGGUAGAAUAUUGGUCUCCAAAACCAAGGACGGGGGUUCGAUUCCCUCCACCCCUGCCA